UACGAAGGGGGCUAGCGUUGUUCGGAAUUACUGGGCGUAAAGCGCGUGUAGGCGGGUCUUUAAGUCAGGGGGGAAAUGCCAGGGCUCAACCUUGGAACUGCCUUUGAUACUGGAGACCUUGAGUCCGGGAGAGGUGAGUGGAAUUGCGAGUGUAGAGGUGAAAUUCGUAGAUAUUCGCAAGAACACCAGUGGCGAAGGCGGCUCACUGGCCCGAUACUGACGCUGAGGCACGAAAGCGUGGGGAGCAAACAGG
rnacentral:rRNA from 1 species